CAAUCUGUGCCAGCUAAUUUUUUCAAGAGAGAUAGUCUCUGGAUGCCUUUACUCUUUGGUUUUUCCAGGUUAGUCUCGGGUCAUAGGUGACUCCAAGAUAAGUAGGGCUGUCAUUAUUUUUUUUCUAAAGCUUCCUUAUCUAAUGUUAAUUUUAUUGUUUGUUGUUUUGUUGACAGUGAGAAUAUGGUAUAUGUUGUCUUUUUUGAGUUGAUGGACAUGCCCCAGUCUGGCUGUGGUGGCUUUAGAAACAUGCCCUUUCAAUCAUCGCCCCUAUAGAUCGCAAGGUCUGAAAGGGGCACUUAACUUUUCCUCUCAUUUAAACGAUUAUUUCCCCUGCUCUCUUCCCGCCUCUUGGACGAUAAAAGAAAUGAGGUCUACAUAGUAUAAUUAAUACACCUAUCUUUAUUGUUAGCCUAGUUACCUGUUAAACUAACCAGUAACUGACCAUUUUUGUACCCAGGAACUGUUUCAACUCUUGGAGUCCGAGCACAUGCCUAAAGGUGCAGCCCAGGCGUCCAGUCUAGCCGUCGAACUGACUGCAGGUGGACUCAGGCCGGAGCACACCAGAUAUGUUAUGACCAAAUUUAAUCGUGACAGAAAAGGUUAUGUUGACUUUUUGGACUUUGUGACCUAUGUCCCUUUAUUCGUGGAGAUACAUAAAAGGAUUAUAACUGACCCACUGAAUGGGAUGUUUGACCUAUGACCUUGGCGAUCAAAUAACUGCAGCUUACACCAUCACAUGUGACUAAAAUGUAAUGAAUUUUGUUCACUAUUUUAUAUACCUUUUAUUUAUUUUAAAAAAAUUUAAAGUUUAAAACCUCAUAAUAUUAAUUGCCUACAAUAGGCAUAUUGACUAUUGAUUGUUCUCUUCAUCAUUAUAUUAUAUAUUUAUUUGUUGUUUUGUAGUCAAAUAAUUUUUAGAUAAACAAAUUAAUAGAUUUUCUUCUGAAAUCCGUGGUUUCAAGUUGAAAAGUAUAUAAGAUUAAAUAUAUGUAUUGCUGCAAGUCUACAAGAAUGAGCAUUUAAUAACCUUCUCAUUAUUGAGCGAGAGGUGUUCAAAGACUAAGGGGAGAUAACUCAAAUACUUUAGAUGUUAUGUCUAUGUUAGCAUUUAAUCAGUGGGAUAUGCCAAACCAAUAAUAGGAAAUACUAUUGAACAUGAUAAGGUAAAAAAACAUGUACCAUAUUAUAAUGAAAUUUGUGAUAAGUGUAUGACAUUAUGUAUUCAGUUUUUGUUUUAUUUUUACUCUAUACCUGAAUCUCAUUUCAUGUAUUUUUUUUUAUUGUGUAUUCAUAUUGAAUCUCAAAUGUAUAGGUAUCACACUAUACAUGUAAAGCUAUAAUAAAAACAGACUACAAAAAUGA
rnacentral:sRNA from 1 species